rnacentral:lncRNA from 1 species
GGAAGUCUAGGUUUCUAUUUAUCAUGUAUACAGAUAUAUGUUCUUAAGAUCAUUUGUAGGACUUUGACUUUUACUCUGAAGAAAAUGGGAAUCAUAUCAAGGUAUGAAAUAGAGAAAUGGACAAUGUGGCAUUUCUUAAAAGGAUAAUUAUAUGUAGAGGGCAUCUAAUUAAGUAGGAAGAAAAGAGGAGGCAGGAAAGCCUUCUGGAAGGAUGUUGUAUUGAUCUUCGGUAAGAGGUGGAGAUGGCUUGCAUUUUGAGUAGUGAUAGUAGACAUGGCAAGAAAUAAUUAGAACUUCUCUCUAUCUAUUUUUAAAAAGCCAGCAGCAUUUCUUUCUAAAUGACCAGAGGUAGCUAAUAGAAAAGGAGAAUCCAGGGUGCAGGCAAAGUCUUGUGUUGGGUGUCAGGGCUUUCGUCAUGCCAUCAGGUUGAGAGGCACCUAGUGAACUGCUUCGGGGGUGUGGAGAUUGAGAGUUCAGGGUGGAACGUUCUGUGUUCCCUUUGUUAUCACCAUUUGUUUCUGUAAGUUGCACAAGUGAGGGCCAUGGAAAGCAUGAGUCAGUGAGAGAGUAUCCUCCUGUAGUACUGGGUCAGAGUAGGCGUGUCUUUGAGAUGGAGAAGGGAAAGAAGAUAGGAGAGUAUCAAUGGCUCUGUUGCUGACUCAUGCUUUGUGUGACAGUCAUUUGUUCAAGUUAAGAAAACGGAGCCAGAACUAUUAAGCUCUUCUUGUACGCCAGAUACGUGGUGUACUAACUCAUGCCUACCUUCGUAGUUAAAGGAGAUGUUGAAUUGCAAUUAGAGACUAGAGAGUUUCCUAGCCUCUGCCCUACAGCUGAGACCACAGGAGGAUUUUUGUAGUUCACAAACACUCUCUAGCCAUGAUAUCAUUAUUCAUCUUCAGAACAUUUCUUGUCGAGCAGGCUGGUGAGGUUACCCUUUUUGUGCUCUGAGGCCUAGAGGUCUUGCUCAGUGCAGAGGCAACAGUUAAAGUGUCCAAGAUCUCUGACUUACAGGGCAAGAGCUUCCCAACAGCUCUUUGUCACCCAACUUUUUAUUUUCAACAUUUUAAAACUUUAAAAAUGUAUAAUAGUAUACCAAAACACAUAAAUUUCUUUUAUGUAUUCCACCCAUUGUUAUUUUGCCAUAUUUGAUUUAUAUCUUACGCGCGCACACACACACACACACACACACACACACACACACACACACUUUUUUUUAAUGGCCUGUUUGAAAGUAACUUACAGGCAUUCUGUCAUGCCCAAGCAUACUUAACCUACAUCUUUUAAGAAUUAGACUACUAUCCUACAAAACAAAUCUCAUAUACAAGAUAACUAAUAAUAAUUUAAAAACCUGUUAUCUCAUAUGCUAUCUAUAUUUAAAAUGUGGGACUGGCACCUAAUAUCAUUUUUAGCUAUUUUAUACUUUGAAGGUACUGAUCUAGAAUACUGUGUGAUAUUUGAGUACAGUAUCUUCCAUCUCUUUGAAUAGAGCUAUUUUCCAUUUUGAAAAAGGAUACUGUUUUUGAAAAGUCCGGGUCACUUGUCAUAGAGAGAGUCCUAAAUUCUGUUUGUUUGAUUGCUUCUUCAGAAUUAGAUUUAGGUUAAAGUCUUUUCAGUGUUUUGGGCAGUAAUAGCACACAGGUGAAUGUCAGGUUAUGGUCCUGUGUUGAGGGACUGAACAUUUAACUUCAUCAAGGCGAGAAGUUCAAGAUUCUUCAUUGUGGGACCACACUUUCUCAUCUUAGGUUAAUGUGUUUUGUGGAGUGUUUCUGAGCCUAAAACAUCAGCAUCCAGGGAGGAUCUUUACCUGGAUUUGUUACUUCAGCGGUGGGUGCCAAAUCCCCAUUAUCUCUCCUUGUUUCUGUUGUGCCAGGAUCUUACACCCCUGGGACUCUGCAGUUGUAAAAGAUGCAGGAAGCCAACUAUGGAGUUAGAUGCAGGUGAAGGAAUGGCUCAGGUGAUGCCAGGGUCCACCAGUGCUAGGCAGGGCAUGUAAUGGUGAAGCAAAUCUGCUACUCUGGUGACAGUGAGUUUCAAUUCUGUCACUUUGGGUGGAGACAGUUUCCAUAGCUUAGCUUUUCUUUCUUUCUGUUUUUAAAAGUGUUUUUAGGGGAAGAACAAAAGGAUUAAACCAACACAACCUCUUUAGCACCGUUUUCUCUCCUUUUUGCUCCCUUUCCCUCCCCUCUCAUUCCCUGAUCUUUCAUCAAAGGCACUAAAUGUAUGUUUAAAAAUUUUCUCCAAGUUUUUUACUCUUUCAUCUAUCUCUUCUAAUCGACCAGUUCUUAACAUUGUUUUCUUCUGGCACAAUUGUCCUGCUGGCUUUUCUUGGUAGAACAAGGACUUGAGGAAGUUGGAAGCAGUUUUUCACUUUGAUUUUCUUUUUUUUUUUUUUUCUUUUUAGGAAGUAACUUUUAGUUAUGACAUAUAUGGUCCCAGCUCAGCUCUUCACAUCAGAAAAUACAUAGUUUUGGAAAAAAAUAAUAUAUUUUAAGAGUUAUCACAGUAUUUUUCUCCAGUAAUUGUCAGCAUCCCAGCUGUACCCUGUUUUUUUUUAAAAAAAAAAAGCAUUGUUCUGCCAGCUACAUACAUUCUUUUACUAAAGCUGAAAAAUGGAAAGCUCUCUCUCUCUCUCUCUCUCUCUCUCUCUCUCUCUCUCUCUUUCCUGGUAGUGUCUAACCACAUAUCUGAACUCUGGUUUCACAUAGGCAGUUGUUGAUGCUCAGCAGAUACAUGUUAUGUACAAAAGUCAUGCUGCCAGGGUAUGGAAAUUAGGGUGAGGACCUCUGAGAAGGUGUCUACUUAACUCGCCAGUCAUCUAGUUUCUAUGGUAACGAUGACAAACAACUGGGCGUAGUGGAACACCCUGUAAACCAGAACUGGGGAGGCAGAGGCAAGAUGAUUGCAAAUUUGAGGUCAACCCAGGAUUACAUAAAAAGUUCCAGGCUAGCCUGAGCUACAAGAUAAGACCCUAUGAAAAACAAAAAACCCAAAUAAACAAAUAACAACAUAUGCUCUCUCUCUCUCUCUCACACACACACACACACCAAUAAAUGUGAAAAAGAAAUAAAAUUUAAAAAGUGAACCCUGGCAAUGAUACACACACACACAGAGAGAGAGAGAGAGAGAGAGAGAGAGAGAGAGAGAGAGAGAGAAGAGAGAGAGAGAAACAGACAGGCAGACAAACAGACACAGAGAGAGAUAGAGAGAGUCAGUAUAUGUGUGUAUGUAUGGACAUCAGAAGAUCAUGGUCAGUUGGUCAGGUUUGGUGGCAUCUUUGCCUGUUGAGACAUCUCUGGCCACUCACUUUAUUAUUUAAAGAAAUAGUUCCCCCUCCCCACACCCAGUGCAGUGUAUUUACAAAAUAGUCUUUUUAAAAAAAAUCCUACAACCUCCAAAUGUACUCUUAACAGUUCUGUCUAAAUAAUUUAUAACCCAAAAUUAUAAUAAUGCUAUAGAAUAUGAUAUAGUUUUUACAUUGAAAGGUGUCGUUUUGUGAUCUGAUAAACUUUCAAUUCAACUCUUUGCACAAAGUUUAGAGAAUAAAGUGGUGCGGAAGGAUAGGAGACGGUCUCCCUCAGUACAUUCCACAGCAUUGCUUGUCAGAGUGUUUCAAGGGUUAGGAAGGAGAUGAGCCCUUUCUCAGAGAUGUACUUGACCCUGUGUCUGCCUUGUUUUUCCGGGUAAAGGACACUAGUUUAAUCCCUACAAUCCUUCCGCGGCUUGACAUAGAGUAUAUCACACAGGGUAGGUGAGGUUUGAAGAUCCUUCUAAAACCUACUUAAUAUUAACCAGGAGUUUUAUAAUCCUAAUUGCCUGUAAACAUUAUUUCUUCUAUGUAUUAAACUAACGCAACAUGAAGCAUGUAUUUAAAUAGCAAAACAUCUUGAAAACAGUGACCCUUAUGCUCCAUAGAGGUCACUUCUGAAAUUAAAAUUUAGUGACUCUAUGCUGGAUGUUAAGGCUUACAUCAAAUGAUUUUUAAAGGUGGUUUCAACUUUAAAAUAAUAAAAGUCCAGCUGUUAGUAAAAUCUUAUUUUCAACAUUAAAUAUGAUAGCAUGUGGUAAAUAUAUAAGUAAAAACUAAAUAUGUGGUUGUCUAAUAUGAAUGUAAUUUUAAGAGUAAUUAAAAUGAAUUUUAGUUUUAAAAUGACAUUUUAUUUUAUGCUGAAAAAUAACAUUUAGAAUUGAAAAUUUACUAUUUUAUUAUAUCCAAAAUGUUUAAUGGAUUUAUGAUUCAGAUGUUUUGAUUAUAAGUUUUGAGAAUUUACUUAGUGUUUUGAAGUUAAAACAAGAGCUCAGUGGUACAUGUCUAAUUUUGGCAUUCAGGAGGCUGAGGCAGAAAGACCUUGGGUAUAAGGAUAAUCUGGCUGUAUAUUGACAAUCUGCUUCGGGCUGGAGAGAUGGCUCAGCCAUUAAAGGCUAGGUUCACAACUAAAAAUAUAAGAGAAUCUGCCUCAAGAAAGUUUUUUCUAGUUUUAUUUUAAAGAGCUGGGGAUGCAACCUAGUGGUAGAACUCUUGCUUAGUGUGUGCAAUGCCUUGUGUUCCAUUUCCAGCACCAAAAAAGAAAGAGACAAAAUAAACAAACAAACGAACAAAAAACAAACAAAGCAAAACAACAAAACUUCUUGAGUCUCCAAAUAAAACAGAACAAUAACAAACACACAAUAACAACAAAACUGCCAAAAUUUGUCACUGAAGAGUUUUUCCAUGCCUAGAUUUUUAUCUUUGAAACAUGGAUAUAUUCAGAUAAAACAUUAAAAACCACUAUUGUUGCCAGGCGUAGUGGUGCACACCUUUAAUCCCAUCACUCGGGAGGCAGAGGCAGGUGGAUUUCUGAGUUCAAGGCCAGCCUGGUCUACAAAGUGAGUUCCAGGACAGCCAGGCUAUACAGAGAAACCCUGUCUCAAAAAAAAAAAAAAAAAAAAAAAAAAAAACAAAAAAAAAAACAAAAAAAACAAAAAAAAAACAAAAAAAAACAAAAAAAACAAAAAACAAAACAAAAAAAACCACAAAAAACUAAAAAACCAAAAAACCAAAACAAACAAACAAACAAAAAAACCACAAAAAACAAAAAACAAAAAACCCACCAAAACAACAAAAAAAAAAAAACCCAAAAAACAAAAACAAAAAACCCGUUAUUGUUUAAACAUAAUGAAGUUUUAUGAUUCAACACUAGGGUGUCAAGACAGAGUUGGUGUUGAACAGGAUUGGCAUAGCUGAUAGCAAAUAAGGUAGGCUCUGAGGAUUUUUACAUCUAUAGCCAGAGCCUCCUAUAGACCUGUGUGAUCCACAUACCACAGAGGGAGAGUUCAGUGAUUUCUGCCUCUCUCUCUGAGCUGAGUACCCAGUUAGCCAGAGAUAGGGGUUCCAAUUCUUUUAUAUUCCCUGUACCCCACCACAAAGGUCACCUGUACCCUAGGCUGGCCAGGAACUCCAUACAUAGCAGAAGAUGACCUUGAACUCCUCCUGAUCUCCCUGCCUCCACUUUCCAAGGGCUGAUUACAGAGCUGUACCACAAUGUCCAUUUGGGGGUGGGGGUAGAGUGGGCUUUUUUUCUUUUCUUUUUAGUUUUCUUUUCUAAUACAGGAUCUUACCCUGUAGCCCAGGAACUUGGAGUACCCGUCCUUUCUCAGCUUCCUUGGGGUAGAGAUUCAUUUUACACCUUGUGAGUAUUUUGUUUUCUUUUUUCCUGUUAUUCUGUCUACUAGUGCUUUUCAAAUUGCUCCUUAGGGACUUUUGAAAUAAAAUUAUUGAUAUUUAGUAAAAAUAAAUUCAAUAUGUGUAAUCACAAUGCAACUAUAAAGGAAAUAUAAAGCUACAAAUAGUAAAGAAUAAUUGAAAAUGCAUACAAUUUCUUUUCAUUGUUCUUUCAAAGUAUUAGAUUUUAGUUAACCAUAUUGUCAUAGCUCUCUAGUACUAGCACAGGAGAGGAUGAAGCAAAGGCUGUAGCUCAAGGCUAGCCUAGAGAUUACCUCAAAAGAAUGAAUGUCUUUUUCUGGGCUGAAACAAAACAGAAGAAAAAGUAAGCUUAUAAUAAUAGCCACAAACAGGACCAGUCUGUUUUUACUUUUGUCUUCUUUGUAGGCUGUAAAAAUCUUAAUAUAUUCACUGAAAUAACUGGGGACUAGUUUCAGAUAUGCCUCCAAACUAGUUUUAACUACCACGUGGUAUAUAUACAUCCAUUCCUCCCCCCUUUUGUUUAAUGGUGAUGACACUAAACAUUUUCAAACUCUUAUCCAUAAAAUCACUGGUGAUAAUAUUGCUGGUAGCAUUCUCUUUUGGUUGGCCAAUGCUGUUGGUAAACAUGACUAACAGGCUGCAGUAUCAUUGUAUGUACUGUUGCCAAGAUAGUAGACAAUGAUAGUGAGGCUGACCAGAACUCUCAAUGAUUCGUGGAGACUUAAGGGAAUAAACUUGCCUUUUCUCAGUUUUCUGAGUGUGUGUAAAAUUGUUAGUGGCUACCACUUUCUGAUUAACCUUUGGUUUUCUCUGUCCUUGAGAUGAAUUCUUUCCCUGUUAGCUUUUACACCCCAAAUAGAUAAUAAUCCCCUAGAAUUCCUGUUUUACUGGUUCUUUAGGUCUGUCAAGAUCAUAGACACUUGCCAGAUAUAUGAAGAAGGAUAUAUGAAGCCUAUGAGAAGCCAAGGCACAACCAGCAGAGAAUGAUUACCGAACUUUCUACUCUAAAUAAAAUGAAAAAACUGAGAGUUGAAAAAGGCUGAAAGUUUUUCUCAGGGAUGCUGCAGAACUGAUGUCUGAUCUUCUGGCUCCUGGACCAGUGCCCUUUCUAUUGUGCAGCCCUAGUUGUCAGCAAGAGAAAGACCAGGUCAGCCAAGCACACAUACACCUAGGUUAUCCAAAGCAAGGCAUUAAUGAUGGAUCCAUGCUAUACAUAUUUUUUCCUUUGUAAUUCUACAAUGAUUGGCUUAAUUAUUUUAUUUGGUGGUUACUUAAUUAAAGAAUAGGUAAUAAUUAAUUCAUAAAUUUUUGGAAUAUGUGGAUAAAAUUACAUUCAGUAUUAUGUUGAUGUUCAGUGUCAUUUUUUGAGAUAUCUUUGUUACAAUUGUCAGAAGGUUGUUGUUUCAGUUGCUUUUAGAUAAAUAACAUAGGGAAUUUUUGCUGUGUUUCCUGAAUAGCUAAGUAAAUAUAUAUACACACACACAUAUAGAUAUACUCAAUAAGCUAUGGAUUAGAUACUAUAUUUAUUUAAAAGAGUCUGUGUACUGAUCAGAAAGCUAUUUCAUUUGCUAGAGAUAAAGAAAAUGGAAGCAUGAACAGAUGUAGGAUGAAUAGAUAUUUGAAAUUAAGAGCUGUGUCGACUACUGAUUUUACAAUUAGAUGGUCUGUUAUAUGAAGACAUUAAAUUCAUAAUCAAAGGUAUCUGAGACACAUCCCAGUUCUUAUCCUGUACCUAGGUGCUUUUACUCUUUGAACAUCUGUGCUGUUUCACAUCUAGGACAGCAUUUGUAUUAUUUAUACCUUCUCAGACCACCAGAUGCUCUACAACGUCCAUAUGUAAAAUAUCCAAUAGUCUAAAGCGUGUCCCAUUGCUUUCUCUGAAGAAAACACUAAUUUCAAAAAUCAGAUAGCUCAGGUGUAGAGAUGGAUAAAUAAACAUAGACCUCUCUUGAGUGUCUGUGCUUCCUUGAUAUACUCACCACCCAAGUAAUCAAUAUAUGGACAUAUAAAUAGAAGAAGUAUAGAAGACAUUAUGGUGCCUAGUCAUACUUCUUUUUACUGGCUAUGAGUUUUGGGAGUUCUUUACAUUUUAAUUAUAUUAUAUUAUACUAUUUAUUUAUUUAUUUAUUUAUUUAUGUGUUUGCAUAUGUGCCAGUGCACACGUGUAUGCAAUGCUACCUUAAAUUUAGCAGAAGAAAACUUAGAAAAGUUUAUGCAGUGCCUACUUAGUGUCCAUUCCACAAUAAAGUCAGAUAGUAGAGUAGAUUAAGCCUGAUUCUAAGGCAUUUUUUUCAUACAGCUUUUAAAUCUAUCCUUCCACUGUAGCAAAGGAAGAUGUGUAAUUAGCUCUUCAGGCAGACACCCUGCAUGUUAAGAUAUGAUAGUAUUAAUACCAUAGUUCAGGGUUAUUAUCCAUUAAGCAGAUUUUUCUAGGAGGCCCCAAGGACUUAACUGUCAGGUCAAACACUGACAGAUCACAAAAGGGAAAGGUUGACCAUUUCUCAUGGGCACGACGCUGUCAGAAGUAUAAGGACUGUCAUACUGCGGUAAUGAAAAACUCUGAUCCGUAGCGUUCUGGAAUUGAGGUGAAAGUCAUUGGACUGCCAGGGCCAGGAAGCAGGAGUGGGUGGGUUGGUUAGCAGGGGGAGGGGGUAAGGGAUAGUGGGUUUUUGGAGGGGAAACUAAGAAAGGGCAUAACAGUUGAAAUGUAAAUAAAUAAAAUAUCUAAUAAAUUAAAAAAAAAAAGAAAGUCAUUGUUUUUGAGAUGGAGAUGGAAUUAGACAUACGCAGUAGGUUUGAAUCCAAGUUUCACAGCAGUACAAAAACCCAGACACACUUGUGUUCUUGGCCAUGCCACAGGGGGUCCAAGAAACAUGUGCUCUUGUGACUUAAUUUAGAAAUAGUAAACAUCAAGAAUGCCAAUGAAUUGGGUAGGUGGCACCUGCAGUGUGACAGCAAUCCAAAGCGUCCUCCCAUUUAUUUGCUUACUCAUCCAUGAAGGUUUUGUAGCUGCAGAUCAUGGGACUCUUGAAUCACUUUAAAAGAACAUGGAAACUAUGGUCCAGAAUGAGAUUAUAUUAUCCACAAGGCACUUACUGAACCGUGGAAUUCAAGUGAAUCCCUAAACUAUUAUAACAGCUUUCUUUUCUUUUCCCUUUCCUUUCCUUUCCUUUCCUUUCCUUUCCUUUCCUUUCCUUUCCUUUCCUUUCCUUUCCUUUCCUUUCCUUUCCUUUCCUUUCCUUUCCUUUCCUUUCCUUUCCUUUUCUUUUCUUUUCUUUUCUUUUUCCUUCAAUGCUAAAGCAAGAGCAGUUUUAUUGUUCCAGCAUGCUGGGGUCACCCUGCACACGAAGGAGCGAGAAAACACAACCAUGCGCAGCCCAUUUGGUUCUUGCUGAUACUUCCAUAUCUUCUUGAUGUAUACAUAUAUUCGUAUUGAAAGACCCCCGAAGGGAGACCCUCACUCAAGCCUCGGGACAGCCGCGG